AUACUGAAUUAACUCUCUGACUAUUUAUACUGAAUUAACUCUCUCUCUCUGACUAUUUAUACUGAAUUAACUCCCUCUCUGACUAUUUAUACUGAAUUAACUCUCUACGACUAUUUAUACUGAAUUAACUCCCUCUCUCUGACUAUUUAUACUGAAUUAACUCUCUCUGUCUUUCCCUAUUGUUUGUGUGUGUGCUUACCUGCUUGCGUCCGUCCGUGUGUGUGUGUGUGUGUGUGUGUGUAGGUGAUCUGGAGGGCAACGUGGACUCGUGUCAGGGUGAUUCUGGAGGUCCUCUGGUGUGCCAGGACUCUCUAGGUGUUUCCUACCUCUGGGGUAUAGUCUCCUGGGGGGAGAAGUGUGGGCAGGCCAAGUUCCCUGGAGUGUACACUCAAGUGGCACACUACUUUGACUGGAUCCGCACUCACACUGGCUGGGCUGCCGUCACUAAAUACAACCUGUGACGUUGAUAUAGACCAGGAGGUAUUUUCAAAUGGUACCGUUCCGUCUCUGGACUACUGCUGCUUUUCUGUUGUACCUAAUAAUCAAUACCACCCCACCUGGUGUCCCAGGUCUAAAUCAGUCCCUGAUCAUUAAUAUCACCCCACUUGGUGUCCCAGGUCUAAAUCAGGCCCUGAUCAUUAAUAUCACCCCACCUAGUGUCCCAGGUCUAAAUCAGUCCCUGAUCAUUAAUAUCACCCACCUGGUGUCCCAGGUCUAAAUCAGGCCCUGAUCAUUAAUAUCACCCCACCUGGUGUCCCAGGUCUAAAUCAGGCCCUGAUCCUUAAUAUCACCCCACCUGGUGUCCCAGGUCUAAAUCAGGCCCUGAUCAUUAAUAUCACCCCACCUGGUGUCCCAGGUCUAAAUCAGGCCCUGAUCCUUAAUAUCACCCCACCUGGUGUCCCAGGUCUAAAUCAGGCCCUGAUCCUUAAUAUCACCCCACCUAGUGUCCCAGGUCUAAAUCAGGCCCUGAUCCUUAAUAUCACCCCACUUGGUGUCCCAGGUCUAAAUCAGGCCCUGAUCAUUAAUAUCACCCCACCUGGUGUCCCAGGUCUAAAUCAGGCCCUUAUCAUUAAUAUCACCCCACCUGGUGUCCCAGGUUUAAAUCAGGCCCUGAUCAUUAAUAUCACCCUAUCUGGUGUCCCAGGUCUAAAUCAGUCCCUGAUCAUUAAUAUCACCCCACCUGGUGUCCCAGGUCUAAAUCAGUCCCUGAUUAGAGGGGAACAAUGGGGAAAAAGCAGUUGAACUGGCGUCGAGGUCCAGAUUUGAAUUUGAGCGAUAUAGCCUAUUCAUACAUAAUAAAGAGUAAUAAAUCGUUAUUACAAUGUUAUACGUUGUUUAUGCUGAAUGAUGUCAAUAAAGAACUUGAGAACCCA